GCAUAAUAAAUGUUGAGGCUUGGAGGCAUGGAGAUUAAGAAAACCGUUGAAAGCCAAACCUGACAACACAACAUAGGAGCUGCUAAUUUGAGGUUCUACCUAUUCAAAAGCAAAUACUUACAAAGUUUGUGUGCAGCUUGGUGUAUUAUGGCCUAACUCUGAGUGCGGGUGAUCUAGGUGGAAGUAUUUAUGCCAACCUGGCCCUGUCUGGCCUCAUAGAGAUUCCAUCUUACCCUCUCUGUAUCUACUUGAUUAACCAAAAAUGGUUUGGUCGGAAGCGAACAUUAUCAGCAUUUCUGUGCCUAGGAGGACUGGCUUGUCUUAUUGUAAUGUUUCUUCCAGAAAAGAAAGGUAUGCCUUUCAAAUUUCUACAAGGGUUUUGAACAGUACUUUUAUUACAAUGAAUCAUAAUAUAGUGGAGAGAUGACCAUAUGGCAUGCUUCAUUUCUGUGAUUGCAUAUUGUUUAGCAAUUGUGUGGGAUAUAAUGGG
rnacentral:sRNA from 1 species